GACGAACGCUGGCGGCGUGCUUAACACAUGCAAGUCGAUCGGAAAGGCCCUGCUUUUGUGGGGUGCUCGAGUGGCGAACGGGUGAGUAACACGUGAGUAACCUGCCCUUGACUUUGGGAUAACUUCAGGAAACUGGGGCUAAUACCGGAUAGGAGCUCCUGCUGCAUGGUGGGGGUUGGAAAGUUUCGGCGGUUGGGGAUGGACUCGCGGCUUAUCAGCUUGUUGGUGGGGUAGUGGCUUACCAAGGCUUUGACGGGUAGCCGGCCUGAGAGGGUGACCGGCCACAUUGGGACUGAGAUACGGCCCAGACUCCUACGGGAGGCAGCAGUGGGGAAUAUUGCACAAUGGGCGGAAGCCUGAUGCAGCAACGCCGCGUGCGGGAUGACGGCCUUCGGGUUGUAAACCGCUUUCGCCUGUGACGAAGCGUGAGUGACGGUAAUGGGUAAAGAAGCACCGGCUAACUACGU
rnacentral:rRNA from 1 species